rfam:Terriglobus saanensis SP1PR4, complete genome.
GGGCCUGUAGCUCAGUUGGCUAGAGCGCACCCCUGAUAAGGGUGAGGUCGGUAGUUCGAGUCUACCCAGGCCCA